rnacentral:rRNA from 1 species
AUACGUAGGGGGCUAGCGUUAUCCGGAAUUACUGGGCGUAAAGGGUGCGUAGGUGGUUUCUUAAGUCAGAAGUGAAAGGCUACGGCCCAACCGUAGUAAGCUUUUGAAACUAAGAGACUUGAGUGCAGGAGAGGAGAGUAGAAUUCCUAGUGUAGCGGUGAAAUGCGUAGAUAUUAGGAGGAAUACCAGUUGCGAAGGCGGCUCUCUGGACUGUAACUGACACUGAGGCACGAAAGCGUGGGGAGCAAACAGGAUUAGAUACCCUGGUAGUCCACGCCGUAAACGAUGAGUACUAGCUGUCGGGGGUUACCCCCCUCGGUGGCGCAGCUAACGCAUUAGGUACUCCGCCUGGGAAGUACGUCGGCAACGAUGAAACUCAAAGGAAUUGACGGGG